AGCUUCAUGCUUCUUUUUUAGAUAGUUUGUUGUUCGUGCCUAUCGUACACUUUGCGACUGUUCGUUUUGCAUCUAUUCCAAGCAUCAAUCAAUACAAUAAAUUUCAGCACCAUAAAGAUAAUAAUAAAAAUCAACAAGAUACGAAAACCCCUUCCAUAUCAACAUCAUCACCACCCUUUUUGCGCCUUCCCUUCCCCGCAAAAAAUAAAAAUCUCCAACAAACUCAACCAUCUCCCCCACCAAUUACAAGGACGCCAGCCACUUUUUAGUUGUUUGAAGUUCAAUGAAGUCUACUAAGCCCGCACAGCACAAGCUCUGCGGGCUUUUUU
rfam:Salmonella enterica subsp. enterica serovar Typhimurium str. LT2, complete genome.